CCCUCCAUCGCCUCUUGAAGCCCUAACAGCAGGCUUCCCUGGACUUGCUCACAUGCUUCUCAAGAUUGCCGAAGCCACAAAAGCAAAAGCUGCAUCACCAACUGGGACUGAGGCCCAGGACUCACACAACACUUCCGCCAUAUUCUGUUGGCCAAACUCAACCACCGGGGCUGUUCCAGAUCAAGAGGUGGUGUAGGGCGUGUGUCAGCCGACCGAAGAGGCUCCCACCUGCUCACCCUCCACCA